rnacentral:rRNA from 1 species
CCACCACCAAAGCAUUCUCUGGUGUUGAAGGCCCUGCAAAGCAGCAUCGCGGUGGCGGAGCGUCGUUUGCGACGCCCAACACACAAAACAAGCGGUGAAUGCUUUGGGGUGGGGUGACUGCGUACCUUUUGUAUAAUGGGUCAGCGACUUAUAUUCUGUAGCAAGGUUAACCGUAUAGGGGAGCCGGAGGGAAACCGAGUCUUAAUUGGGCGUUAAGUUGCAGGGUAUAGACCCGAAACCCGGUGAUCUAGCCAUGGGCAGGUUGAAGGUUGGGUAACACUAACUGGAGGACCGAACCGACUAAUGUUGAAAAAUUAGCGGAUGACCUGUGGCUGGGGGUGAAAGGCCAAUCAAACCGGGAGAUAGCUGGUUCUCCCCGAAAGCUAUUUAGGUAGCGCCUCGUGAAUUCAUCUCCGGGGGUAGAGCACUGUUUCGGCUAGGGGGCCAUCCCGGCUUACCAACCCGAUGCAAACUGCGAAUACCGGAGAAUGUUAUCACGGGAGACACACGGCGGGUGCUAACGUCCGUCGUGAAGAGGGAAACAACCCAGACCGCCAGCUAAGGUCCCAAAGUCAUGGUUAAGUGGGAAACGAUGUGGGAAGGCCCAGACAGCCAGGAUGUUGGCUUAGAAGCAGCCAUCAUUUAAAGAAAGCGUAAUAGCUCACUGGUCGAGUCGGCCUGCGCGGAAGAUGUAACGGGGCUAAACCAUGCACCGAAGCUGCGGCAGCGAACGUAUCACCCAAGACAACUUUACGGAGUUGACGAUUGACGGAGCGAAGCGACGUCAAAGCGUUCAUUAAAGUCGAGUUGGCUUAGGGAUACGUUCGUUGGGUAGGGGAGCGUUCUGUAAGCCUGUGAAGGUGUGUCGUGAGGCAUGCUGGAGGUAUCAGAAGUGCGAAUGCUGACAUAAGUAACGAUAAAGCGGGUGAAAAGCCCGCUCGCCGGAAGACCAAGGGUUCCUGUCCAACGUUAAUCGGGGCAGGGUGAGUCGACCCCUAAGGCGAGGCCGAAAGGCGUAGUCGAUGGGAAACGGGUUAAUAUUCCCGUACUUGGUGUUACUGCGAAGGGGGGACGGAGAAGGCUAUGUUGGCCGGGCGACGGUUGUCCCGGUUUAAGCGUGUAGGUGUGUGUUCCAGGUAAAUCCGGUU